rnacentral:rRNA from 1 species
AAGUAUUUCGGUAUGUAAAGCUCUAUCAGCAGGGAAGAUAAUGACGGUACC